rnacentral:rRNA from 1 species
AUUGAACGCUGGCGGCAGGCCUAACACAUGCAAGUCGAGCGAGCGGCGGACGGGUGAGUAAUGUCUGGGAAACUGCCUGAUGGAGGGGGAUAACUACUGGAAACGGUAGCUAAUACCGCAUACAAUCGGAGUGGCCAGGAUGGGAUUAGCUGGAAGGUGGGGAAACGGCUCACUUGGGCGACGAUCCCAAGCUGGUCUGGGAGGAUGACCAGCCACACUGGAACGGGGAAACGGUCCAGACUCCUACGGGAGGCAGCAGUGGGGAAUAUUGCACAAUGGGCGCAAGCCUGAUUCAGCCAUGCCGCGUGUGUGAAGAAGGCCUUCGGGUUGUAAAGCACUUUCAGCGGGGAGGCGUUACCCGCAGAAGAAGCACCGGCUAACUCCGUGCCAGCAGCCGCGUUAAUAC